rnacentral:rRNA from 1 species
UGGUAAACGGGGCGAGGUGGAAGCGGCAACAGCUCAAAUUUGAAAUCUGGCUCUCGGGCCCGAGUUGUAAUUUGUAGAGGAUGCUUUUGAUGCGGUGCCUUCCGAGUUCCCUGGAACGGGACGCCAUAGAGGGUGAGAGCCCCGUCUGGUUGGAUGCCAAAUCUCUGUAAAGCUCCUUCGACGAGUCGAGUAGUUUGGGAAUGCUGCUCUAAAUGGGAGGUAUAUGUCUUCUAAAGCUAAAUACCGGCCAGAGACCGAUAGCGCACAAGUAGAGUGAUCGAAAGAUGAAAAGCACUUUGAAAAGAGAGUUAAAAAGUACGUGAAAUUGUUGAAAGGGAAGCGUUUAUGACCAGACUUGGGCUUGGUUAAUCAUCUGGGGUUCUCCCCAGUGCACUUUUCCAGUCCAGGCCAGCAUCAGUUUUCGCCGGGGGAUAAAGGCUUCGGGAAUGUGGCUCUCUCCGGGGAGUGUUAUAGCCCGUUGCGUAAUACCCUGGCGGGGACUGAGGUUCGCGCAUCUGCAAGGAUGCUGGCGUA